CCGUUCAGGGGUAAACCUGCGAAACUCGAAUGAACGAACGGGGAGAUUCAUCGUCAUUCCGCGGCGUACGGCCGGUCGCCUCGAUGCUUCGUCGACUUCGGUCGCGAGGCACGGGCUCCGUCCGUCGACGUCCGUGGACGGCGUGCACUUCUCCCUCAGUAAUACAUCGCGACCCGUUCGAUGUCGGUCUAAGCGCCGUUCGGGAGCCCCACGGUGUCCCUCACGGGUCACUGUGGGACCGUGACGUGCGCCGACCGGCCGUCGGACGGUAUCAUUCAUGGAAUCGCGCACGCGUUACAGCGCGUCCGGCCCGACGCAAGGCAACGUCGUAUCCUACGUCCUGCCCGAGUGCGGACGUCGGUGCGGCGCGCCUGUCGUCGCUGCCGUGCAGUCUCGGACAUGUGCGCGUCUCUGUCUGCGAUGAUUCAGUUUCGGGCACUCGCA
rnacentral:rRNA from 1 species